UUGAUGAUCCAAAAAGGAGGAGUUAUGCAAGAACGGUGCUUGUUAAUAACCUCCAUUAAAAAAGAAAUUUACAAAAAUUAUUGUUUGGACGCCUUUUUCUGAGCCGCCGAAAUGGCAUUCUGCAUAAAUUGAGGGUUAAUUGCUAGCGACGGAUUUGCCCUUAUUUGUGGAUUGUUCUCAACAACAUCUUUAAUUAAGAGCAUAUCAGAAGGAGUUAAAGCAUUAAUAAUACUUUCGAGAGACGGGUAGGAAUGAACUGGAUUAGUAGGUGUACCAGAAGCAGACUGAUAUGUAGAUGGAAUACCAUUUGUGGAAGUAGUGAUAGGAGUGGCUCUUUCUACUGAUUCAUGACGAGAGGAGCUUUUAUUAAGAACAAAUAAGCCCAUGAAAUACU